AACGCAUAUUGCGCUCUCUGGUAUUCCGGGGAGCAUACCUGUUUCAGCAUCAUUUGAACAUCUCAAAAUCAUUAUUUUUGAUGAUUUUGGAAGUUGGGCAUUUUGUUGUGAUAGUGUUUGUCACCAUCGUAACUGGCCUGAAAUUUGAAUAAAAGUAAUGCAAGAAUUGCGUAGAUGCUUUGGUGCUAAAAGAUGAAAAGCUUACCAGUUGACCGUGGUCAAACUUGCUGACUAGUCUUUUUGAAACCUGAGCAAGUCUACCUUCACAAGUUGAUCUGAAAUCAGGUAGGAUUACCCGCUGAACUUAA
rnacentral:misc_RNA from 1 species